GAGGUUACGAUUUUGGAUGGUACUGAAGCGAGGCAUUUGGGAUCCCUGUCGCAGGAUACUGUUAUCGAUCAAGACACUGGACCGGCUCUGGACCUGACCUGGGACGUCCGACGUCCGGCGGGAUCUCUGGAGCCUGCAAGAGAAGCUUGGCACCCUCCACAACACUGAACUGGUUUUUCUUUUCUUUUCUUGUGUUGGGGAGUGUUCUUUUGUUAUUUGUCAAUAAAUAGGUUUUGUUUUCCA